rnacentral:rRNA from 1 species
UGGGGAAUAUUGCACAAUGGGCGCAAGCCUGAUGCAGCCAUGCCGCGUGUAUGAAGAAGGCCUUCGGGUUGUAAAGUACUUUCAGCGGGGAGGAAGGGAGUAAAGUUAAUACCUUUGCUCAUUGACGUUACCCGCAGAAGAAGCACCGGCUAACUCCGUGCCAGCAGCCGCGGUAAUACGGAGGGUGCAAGCGUUAAUCGGAAUUACUGGGCGUAAAGCGCACGCAGGCGGUCUGUUAAGUCAGAUGUGAAAUCCCCGGGCUCAACCUGGGAACUGCAUCUGAUACUGGCAAGCUUGAGUCUCGUAGAGGGGGGUAGAAUUCCAGGUGUAGCGGUGAAAUGCGUAGAGAUCUGGAGGAAUACCGGUGGCGAAGGCGGCCCCCUGGACGAAGACUGACGCUCAGGUGCGAAAGCGUGGGGAGCAAACA